rnacentral:rRNA from 1 species
GUGCCAGCAGCCGCGGUAAUACGUAUGUUCCAAGCGUUAUCCGGAUUUAUUGGGCGUAAAGCGAGCGCAGACGGUUAUUUAAGUCUGAAGUGAAAGCCCUCAGCUCAACUGAGGAAUUGCUUUGGAAACUGGAUGACUUGAGUGCAGUAGAGGAAAGUGGAACUCCAUGUGUAGCGGUGAAAUGCGUAGAUAUAUGGAAGAACACCAGUGGCGAAGGCGGCUUUCUGGACUGUAACUGACGUUGAGGCUCGAAAGUGUGGGUAGCAAACAGGAUUAGAUACCCUGGUAGUCC